UCCCUCAUGUUUGAGAUGUUAUUUUCCUUUACUUUUGAAGAAUAUCUGGCUGGGAAUGAAAUUUCUAGAUCACCCUUUUACUGCCUGGAUCCUCUAGACCUGCUUUACUGUUACCUGGCAAUGAAAGUUCUCAUGGAAAGUGAACUCAGGUUCUUAUGCACCACACACCAAUAGGGCAUGGGAAAGUGCCAGAGAAGCACGAGUGGCAGCUGCGUAAAGGGUGAAGAAAUUGACGAGGGAAGAAGUGUUGCCUUGUUGCUCCAGGCACUGACUUUCACAGUGACAGCCACUGGCAUUCUCCUAAUGACUCUCUACUUCCUUGGUUCCUGAGACAGUUCUGAACAAGUAACAUAUGGUGGCUGAGGUGAUGAGUUUCAGCUGAGUGAAUCUUGUAGCUUUAUCCUGUGCUUGAUUCAGCAGAGCUGUGGAUGAUUUUUGCAGGACUAUGAAAAAUGGCUGAAUUCUCUCUUCCUCCAAUCUGAAAUUAAUGACUAGGAACAUUACCAACACAGACGGGCAGGAAUUCAGGAAAAACUUCUUGAAAGAGGUGUGGUUUGAUGGGAGUGCAGAAGUUAUUUCAUCUCUGGGCCUGUUUCUUCUUCUGUAAAAUAUUGAGAAAUGAUAGGACCACCUAUCUUUCUGGGUUGUCAUGAGGAUUACAUGAGAGAGUGUGUGAGAAGCCUGGCACUUGUAGGUACUGUAAGUAAGUAUUCAUUAUGAUCCCUUUUGGCCACUUUCCUUAGGAUUUAAAAACAAAAGCUUCUUAACUCUUUCCUGAGGUCAGGGAAGUCCUGAAACCUAUGAACGUGGAAUCCAGCUAGCCUUCUCAUUUUUGUGUGGUGAGCUGCAUGAAAUUAAGGUGUAGGUAAUUUCUCAAACAGGUGAUUCUGCUAAGAGAGUUAAUGGUUUAAGAGUGAAUGGUUGGUGGGACCUCCCUGGUCGUCUAGUGGUAAAGAAUCUGCCUUGCAUUGCAGGGGAUGAGGGUUCAUCCCUGGUCAGGGAACUAAGAUCCCACAUGCCGUGGGGCAACUAAGUCUGCAUGCCAC